AAAAACUGAUGAUGGAAAGAGAUCAAUAUAUUACCCAGAUUGGAAUGAGCAGGGAACACUUCAAAUUAACUGUGGCUAAGCUGCUAAAGAAAAUAGGGAAGAUCAAAAAGCAGAUGAAAUAAGGGCACAUUUCAACAGAGAAUUGGAAUCUAGACAAGAAUCAAAUCAAGAUUUUGGGCAAAUGCAAAAUGUGAAACUAAAGUUAAUUGAAUAGGUUUAAUUGUAUACUGGGUCCUGAAUAAGAUGAUAAGAUGGGACUCAUGAAUACAAUGACAGGUCAAUAGGAAAUUGCCAAAUGGAAGCAUGGAGAGCAAUUGAAAAACAAAACAAAACAGAAAAACACACAGAAGAGAAUAAAUGAUAAAAGAUAUAAGGAACAUAUAUAUAUAUAUGAAUAUAAGCCAUACAUACACAUAACUUAAGUACCAAAAUGAGAGGAGAAACACAUUGAGGGAGAAGCAAAAUUUGAAGUAAUAAUGGCUAAGAAUUGUCCAAAACUGAUGAAAGACAUUAACUCAAAGAUUCAAGAAACUCAGCAAAAUCCAAACUGGAAGUACACAAAGAAAACCACACCUGGGCACAUCAUAGUCAAACUGUUGAAAAUCAAAGCAAGGACUAAAUUUUUAAAGACGCCAGAGGACAUUCAGGUUUGUUUCCAUGUCUCGGCUAUUGUGAAUAAUGCUGCAAUGUACAUGGGAGAGCAAGUAUCUCUUCAAGAUUCUGAUUUUAAUUCCUUUGGAGAAAUACCCAGAGGUGGGAUUGCUGGAUCAUAUGGUAUUGGGUUGGCCAAAAGGUUCAUUUGGGUUUUUCCAUAAGAUGUUACAGAACAAUAGUUCUGUUUUUAGUUUUCUGAGAACCUUCCGUACUGUUUUCCAAAAUGACUGUCCCAAUUUGCGUUUCCACUAAUAGUGCACAAAGGUCCCUUUUUUCCAUAUCUGGUUUUGAUUUGCAUUUCCCUGAUAAUUAGUGAUGUUGAGAAUGUUUUCAUAUACCUGUUGGCCAUUUGUGUAUCUUCUUUGGAAAAAAAUGCCUAUUUAGGUUCUUUGCCCUUUUUAAAUCAGUUUUUUCUUUCUUUCUUUUGCUAUUGAGUUGUAUGAUUUCCUCUGAUAUUUUAGAAAUUAAUAUGCAUACAUAAAAUUAAUCCAGCUAUUCACAUACACUUGGUACAAUUUAAUGUAUGGCUGUUACAUCUCAAUCAAAAGAAGGAAAUGCAAUGGACUUGUGCUAGCCCACUGGAUAGACUAGUGACCUAACCUUUGGCCAGUCCCUUCUUUGUCGUGAAUAGUAUUUUCUUCAGAGAGGUGUUUUUCAUAGAUCAAAGAAUCCUUAGGAAGUCUAACAAAAUAAGUAGUUUACCUGUCCUGGAAGAGUGCCAUUUGUCAAAGUUCAUUAAGUGUUUGUUGGUUUGUUUUAAGUUUUCUUUUUUUUUUCUUUUUUUUUUUUUUGCGGUACGCGGGCCUCUCACUGUUGUGGCCUCUCCCGUUGCGGAGCACAGGCUCCGGACGCGCAGGUUCAGCGGCCAUGGAUCACGGGCCCAGCCGCUCCACGACAUGUGGGAUGUUCCCGGACCGGGGCACGAACCCGCGUCGCCUGCAUCGGCAGGCGGACUCUCAACCACUGCGCCACCAGGGAAGCCCUGUCAAAUGAGAAUUUUAAACACUGGGUUUAACAGACAGAGGCCCCUUCUAAGUACUUUACAAUUAUUAACUCAUUUAAUGCUCACGACAACCCUAUGAAGUGGGUGCUAUUAGUCCCGUUUUGUAGCAGGGGAAACUGAGGCACAGGGAGGCUAAGCAAGCUGCCCAAGGUCACAGCCGGCUGGGGGCGGGCGAGAUUCUACCUCGUGCCGUCCUGCACCGGACUAGGUGCGUAGGCUUCCCUAUACUGGUGGGGUCUUGAAUGUGGGAUCUUGUCCGUCCCCCCCAUCAGGAUGUGAGCUCUGGUACCUCGGCUGGUGCACACAGGCAUUUAAUGAACAUUGUGGAAUCAAGAAGGGAUGAGUGGAUAUCUUCGGAUGGCCACAUCCCUUCGUGACCGCCUGCGCCCUCCUGCCGUGCUCUGCUCGGGGAAUUCUAUUCGUGGUCAAGACGUUUAGUCCCAGUAAACUCGAUCCUCGGGGCGAGGGGGGACCCCAAGGAAAUCACCAGCUUGGGCUGAGUCAGGACGGAGAAGAAUCCGCUCACAGCGGGGCACGGGCGCCACCUGGCGGCGGAGUCCUGCUAAGACAGAGCCGCUGGGAGACCCGGAACGUUUGCUUUGGGUGAAGUGGAAUCGACAUCUGAAAGGGAGUUGAUAUCGGGUGUUAUUAGUGGGCGGUUGUCUGAAAAUCAGUGUAUGAUGAUGGGUGCCAUCUACCAGUGGCUUCCAAACUUUUCUGGCCGUGACGCGCAGUAAGAAAUCAUUUCACAUUAACAUGGUUUCAUCAAAUACCACCCUGUACUGCAUGAUGUUUUUUAUUCUACUGUAUUCCUAUUUUUAAAUGUUAGUCAGAUCCCCUGAUCACACCUCCAGGGACUCCCCCUCUGACUUCAAGAUGAACGGAGCUCAGAGAGGUGAAGACACUUGUCCAAAUCCACACAGGUUGUAUGCGACAGUGCCAGUUUCUGCCUCAGUCCUGAAGCACAGAAAUCACUAAAUGCUCCAAAUUUCACUGCUAUUGAGUAUAAUUUAAUUUAGUCCUUUCUCCAUUUUGCCCAUAAGAUUGAGCUGCACUGGUCUGCUGUUUUCUUAUUACUGUAUAAUGUAAAUGAAUGACAUUCCCGAGCUCAGGCUUAAAAAAUGCAAGUCUUCUUAUGUUACAAAAUGAAUCUGAGACAGCAAUAAAGAACCUACAUUGAGGUGGCACUCGCAGCAUCAUUGCCAACACCACUGUCACCAUCACCACCAUCACCAUCGUCACCACGGUCGUCAUCAUAACCGUCACAUCCCCUUCUCUGUCACCGUCAGCAUCACAUCGUGAUCAUCAUCACUGUCACCACCUUCAUUCACCAUCAUCAUCGCCAUCCCCACUACGGCCAUCACCAACAUCACCACUGUCACCGCCACAAAAAUCGCCCCCACUUGAAAGCAGGUAUCAGCAGCCCACACUUUUUGUCUCCUAGCUACAGCCUUGGCCCAGCAAGCCUGCGUCCUCCAUCUCUCUCUCCACCCUGAGCCACAGGGGAUGUGACUGUGACCCCGAGGGUAGUGCUGUCUUACUUGGGAACAAAGAGGAUUCUGGGUUUGAUUCUCCAACUUUUCUUUAAGUGACCUCAGUUCUCUUCUGAGCUUGUUGCCACAAGGUUGACCAUCCAUAGAUGGUGAGCCCAGCCCCUGGACCAGGGGAGGCUCUGCCCAGUGUAGCUCUAGGACCCUUGAGGUGGCUGAGACUCGGGGUGGGGUGUUUAAGGCUGAACGCCUCCUGCUAUAGGGGUUUGAGACCACUUUGGGAGGGGAGACCUGAGGGUCUGUGUUCUCUGUACUCAUUGUCCUGUCUUAGGAGAGAAAGAGGAAGUCCCUCUGGGAUGGCAAACAGGGCCGGUCGUCAUGACUCUGCCCCCCGCCAAGAUGAGACUUCCCAGGUCCCAAAGGAGAAAGUGAGAAUGACAGCCUAACUUCCAGAAGUCCCAUCCUAGGGAGUUGCCAUUUCCAUCGCCUUCCUGAAAUACCCGUUUUUAAAUUUCUUGUUCACUGUUAUAUCCCCAGAGCCUAGUACCCUGUAUGGCACAUAGUAAGUACUCAAUAAAUGUUUGUCAAAUCAACGGGAAAAGAGAUGGAGAGUCCCCCUCCCCUGCAACUGUUAGGGAAGAGAUGGGAUUCUGCAUCAUAUCGUUAAUUCAAAGGAUCUGAUUUGAUACGGUGUGAAGGGGAGAACUUUUACAAAAUUAUUAACUUUGUACUGUGCACUAAAGAGACUUUGAAAAUUAAUAAUUCACUCCAACAUCUCCUGUUCCUUACGAAUAUUUCUCAGAAGUGAUUUCAACAAAAAUGUUUUCUACCAUGCCCCAAACUGUAGGAGUUGUGGUCAGGUCCAGUGACUAUUCCCUCCAGAAGAAGGCUUUCACCCUGCUGGGUUGUCUUGAUCAUUUGCGGCCCUGCUUUUAACAUCCUGCCUGUAAACUGAAUAAAUACAGAACUAGUGAGCCCACGUUUGUACUAAAUUAGCAAACGGUGCCAGGCCCACCGAUGACAACUUCCGGGAUGGCUGAGAGUAGAAGGUGGCGACCCCUGCUCGCAGCCCCGACAACACACAGGCGAGAGUCACCUCCAAUUUUGUCCCAUUUUUUGAGUCCAAUUUUGAAGAUGGUUUUGUGUUCUUAAAGCAUUCUUAUAAAGCCUGUGUGUUGAACUGCAUUUGUGAGAACAAAAUGAGUUCUAGGUCCCUUAUUUUUCUUUAAUACUUUCUUUCUGUUGUUACUAUUUAUAUUGUUUGUAUGUCUUGAUAAAAGCUAAUUAAUCAACGA